AACCUGGUUGAUCCUGCCAGUAGCAUAUGCUUAUCUUGGAGAUUAAGCCAUGCAUGUCUGAGUAUAAGUUAAAUACGGCGAAACUGCGAAUGGCUCAUUAAAACAGUUAUAGUAUACUUGAUGAUGUUUUUUAUAUGGAUAACCGUUGGGAAACCAGAGCUAAUACAUGCACCAAAAGCCUUCGGGCUGUAUUUAUUAGUUAUUGACCAACACCUUCGGGUUUUGUGAUGAUUCAUAAUAACUGAUCGAAGCGUAUUUGUAUACGCUAAAUCUUUCUAGUUUCUGCUCUAUCAGCUUGAUGGUAGUGUAUUGGACUACCAUGGCUUUCACGGGUAACGGAGAAUUAGGGUUCGAUUCCGGAGAGGGAGCCUGAGAAACGGCUACCACAUCUACGGUAGGCAGCAGGCGCGUAAAUUACCCAAUCUUGACUUAGGGAGGUAGUUACAAGAAAUAUAGUAAUUGCUUUUGCAAUGUCUAAAUGAUCUUAACAUAAACCGUUUUUUGAAUGCGAUUGGAGGGCAAGUCUGGUGCCAGCAGCCGCGGUAAUUCCAGCUCCAAUAGUGUAUCUUAAUGUUGUUGCUGUUAAAAAGCUCGUAGUUGAAUUUCUGGCAUCCUAGCUUGGCUCCGGCUCGGCAGGGAUGUCAUCCGCUCUGAAAGCUUGUACGCCUAACAGCUGCAGGUCGAAGGAGUAUUUUACUUUGAAGAAAUUAGAGUGUUCCAGGCAAGCAAUGCUUGAAUAUUACAGCAUGGAAUAAUGGAAUAGGACUAUGCAUUUCGUUGGUUAAUGCAUUAGUAAUGAUUAACAGGGACAGUUGGGGGCAUUCGUACUGGGCAGUUAGUGGUAAAAUACGUUGACCUGCUCAAGACGCACUAAUGCGAAAGCAUUUGCCAAGGAUGUUUUCAUUAAUCAAGAACGAAAGUUAGGGGAUCAAAGACGAUUAGAUACCGUUGUAGUCCUAACUAUAAACUAUACCGACUAGGGAUUGGCAGGGGGAUGUCCCCUGUCAGCACCUAAUGAGAAAUCAAAGUCUUUGGGUUCAGGGGGGAGUAUGGUCGCAAGGCUGAAACUUAAAGGAAUUGACGGAAGGGCACCACCAGGAGUUAACACUUUGUUACAUUAGUAGCCAAAGGCUCGGCUCCAGUAUGUGUCUUGGGAAUAGAGUGCCGCUUUAAAAGAACAUUAUUCCCUUGGUAAAGCACAUGCUAGUAAACAGCAAUGUUUGCGACACUGUCAAAUUGCGGGAACCUGCUAAAGCUCUUGUAACCAACCUGGUGUAGAAAUACAACCAGGGGCCGGGGUAAUGACCUUGGAUAUGGUAAAAUCACAAGAGAUGCUACAAUGCACAAUCCGCAGCCAAGCCCUAAGGAUAUUAUAUCUAUGGGUGCAGUUCAGAGACUAGACGGCAGUGGACUUUUGAAUUUUUAUUCUUAGGUUUAAGAUAUAGUCCGUUUUAUGUUGAAAGACAUAAUGUUAGCUAAAUGCAGCUUUCUUAACGGGAGCCUGCGGCUUAAUUUGACUCAACGCGGGGAAACUUACCAGGGCCAGACCUUAGUAUGAUUGACAGAUUGAUAGCUUUUUCUUGAUUUGAGGGAAGGUGGUGCAUGGCCGUUCUUAGUUGGUGGAGUGAUUUGUCAGGUUAAUUCCCUUAACAAACGAGACCUUAACCUGCUAAAUAGUCGCCCUACUUUAGUGGGGUUGGCUUCUUAGAGGGACUAUGUACUUAAAUACAUGGAAGUUUGAGGCAAUAACAGGUCCGUGAUGCCCUUAGACGUCCUGGGCCGCACGUGUGCUACACUGACUCGCGCAACGAGUGCUUACCUGAUCCGAAAGGCAAUUGGGAAACCUUGUUAAUACGAGUCGUGCUAGGGAUUGAUCUUUGCAAUUAUGGAUCAUGAACGAGGAAUUCCUAGUAAGCAUAAGUCAUCAUCUUGUGCUGAUUACGUCCCUGCCCUUUGUACACACCGCCCGUCGCUCCUACCGAUUGAGUGGUCCGGUGAACUUUUUGGACGUUGGCUCUAGCUAAGCGGAAGCUAAGUAAACCUUAUCACUUAGAGGAAGGAAAAGUCGUAACAAGGUUUCCGUAGGUGAACCUGCAGAAGGAUCA
rnacentral:rRNA from 1 species